AUAUAUAUAUAUAUAUAUUUUAUUUUUAUUUUUUUUUGUUUCACAUUAAAUAAAAAAAUUCUUCUUAAUCCGGUAAGAGUACCCUUAUACUCUAGAUCAAUAUAUCUUACUUACGAGGUUGAUUCAAAUUGUUUAAAAUACAAGGUCAAUCAAGUCAAAAACAAUUAUUAUUAUAUUCAAAGUAAAAUAAAGAAGAGAAAUGUUAUAUUUACUAUGCGUGAUAAUAUAUUGUUUCAAUUUUAGAAUUAAAUUUAAAAAUAUUUUAAUUUAUUAGAGAUGAAAAAUAUAUUCCCUCCGAUCCUUUUUAAGUGUCAUUUUUGACUUUUUACAUAUAUAAAGAAAGUUAAUCAUAAAUAAUAAUUUUUCUCUUACCUACAAUACCCUUAGUAAUUUAUUACAUUCACUUUACUUUUUCUCUCUCUGUAAUAAUUAUAUAGGGGUAAUUUUGACAAAAUUGUAAUUAAUACUAUCUUGAACUUUGCAAGUGACAAUUAAAAAGAAAUAAAUUUUUUGCAAAAAAAUGACACUUAUAAAUAAAGGAACGGAGGGAGUAUUAAUCUUUGGGUUUAAUAGUGAUGCAUUGAGUGUAAAUUUAUUUUACACUGUCAUCCAAUAGGAAUAUAUGAUUUUGUCAUGUCAUAUAAUUAUUUUAAAAUUUUCAAUCUGAUUUAGCGAGAUGCAUGGUUGUCAUUGGUUGACAGUAUAAAAUAAAUUUACACUGUAAGUGCAUCAUCCCUUUUUCUCUUGAUCUUUUUGCUUUUGGAAUAUUCUAGCCAUUAAUACGAGGCUUUAUUUAAAGCUGAUUAUUUUUAUGUCAUGUUUUAUUUUUUUUAAUAUAUGUACUAGCAUGAGUCGCAUAAAGCGGGUUGUCAAGAGUAUUUAAGAUAUGUAUAACAUGAGAGACAUAAUGUUAUUAAAUCCAUGAUCAUUUUUUAGAAGCUCAAGUUACUUAUUAGUUGAUCCAUUUCAUUUUACAAAGCUAUGUCGAGGCAUUCUAAUUGAUUUACGCAAAAUUUGUUCUCGAUCAUGUUCCUCUCAAUCCGACCACUAUAAGAUAUUCUACUCUAUGUUAAAAUAUAUCACAUUAAAUGUGAAAGUUAGAAACCUCUUUGUUUUUAAAAUUCUAUUCAUCUUAUUGUUAAUGAUCAAUCAUAUAAUUAACAUGGAGACAAAUGAAUAUCAGAAUAUCCUCACGCAAUUUUGUUUACAAACACUUGUCACAAGAAUUAGAUAAAGAAGAUUUUAGAUAAUCAUUUAUGAUGAUGCAAGAAGGCUUUUAGAUGAAGUGGGAGAUGAAAUUUUGAGUAAUUUAAAGUAAUAUAGUGUGAAUUGCAAUGAGUACCUUAGUUAUGUUCACUUGUCUCAAAUAUUUAUUUGAAUUUCUAUGUUAAACCUUCUUGAUCAACUUCAUCAUAGAUUUGCAUGACACUUUUGAUCCUUUUCUUCUAUGAUAAUUUUUGUCUUUAACAAAAUUGAACUAGAUAUAAGAUGUAUUCCUCACAAUCUCCCACUUUUGAUGAUGACAAACUCUUUGAAUUCGUGUUUUGAUAAUUAUUGAAAAGUCUCCCUUAAGUUGUUGUCUCCCCUUAAUUGGUGAACAUACAAUGACAUAGUCAAACCUUUGAUGUCAUUGUUUCGGUGUUUGUUUUAAUCCAUACAAGAAUUUGUCAAACUUGCACAUUUUUGUUAAUUACCAAGAAGCACAUAACCUUCUAAUUGCUCCAUGUAAAUCUCCUCAUUGAGAUAUCUAUUUAGGAAUAUUAUUUUGACUCGAAUUUAUGAUGCAAACUUUUGUGUUCAGAAUGUGUCUAUGACAAAGCACUUUAUCCUUUGAUUUUUGAAACGGAAGUCUCAGUUGACAUUAUUUGAACUACUUAUAAGAUUGUUAGAAAAUUAAUUUAUAAAUCAAAUAGAUCGAGGUUAUAAUCAUGAACGAAAUCACUUUCCUUAUAAGUAUUUCAAGCAUUCUCAAAUGCCUUAGAGUUGGAAUGCAAAAAUACCCAGGAUAAUUCAGCAUAUACUCGAGUUUACACAAGACCAAUGAAAAUGUGAAUGUAGGGAAGAAUAUCUGGAAUUUUAGUGAAGAGGAUGUAUGUAUUUUGUUAAGUGUUUUUUCUGAAUCUUGAAUGCUCAAUUUAUAGGUCAACUGAUGUUGUUCAUAAGGUUGCGACCAUUGAUGAAACACACACUUUCAAGAACACUUUUGCUAAGUGUUGACUUUUUUCGCCUACAACAACACUUUUCAAACGUUGCACUAGUUUGCCUAUAACAACAUUUUUAUCAUAUGUUGCACUGUUUUGCCUACAACAACAGUUUUCAAAGGUUGUAUUGUUUCGCAUUCUAUAACACUUCACAAAGUGUUGCCUAUUUCUGAAUUCAAACCUACCACAACACUUCACAAGUGUUACCUAUUUCUGAAUUAAAAAAUAAAUCUUCACUUCAAUAUUUUUCUUGACAUUUUAGAACACACUCAAUCUUAUUAAUUGUUAAUAAUUUAUAAUUUCAUAUUAAAAAAAAAAUCUUCUUAAUCUGGUAAAGUACCCUUAUACUCUAGAUCAAUAUAUCUUACUUAUAAAGUUGAUUCAAAUUAUUUGAAAUACAAGGUCAAUCAAGUAAAAAACAAUUAUCAUUAUAUUCAAAGUAAAAUAAAGAAGAGAAAUCGUUAUAUUCACCAUGUGUGAUAAUAUAUUGUUUCAAUUUUAGGAUUAAAUUUAAAAAUAUUUUAAUUUAUUAUAGAUGAAAAAUAUAUUAAUCCUUUUACUUUUGGAAUAUUCUAGCCAUUAAUACGAGGCUUUAUUUAUAUUGCACAAUUAAAUCUGGUUAUUUUUAUGUCAUGUUUUACUUUUUCUAAUAUAUAUAUCAGCAUGAGAUGCAUAAUGCGAGUUCUCAAGAGUAUUUAAAAUAUCAAUAUUGUUAUUCUUACACCAUUUUUUACACCAAAUAUUUAUAUCGUAUAUACUGUUCACCGCAUUUAUACGGUGAACAGUGUAUUUUUAAAAUAAAAUAAUAUAUUUAUGAACGGUGCGGUGCGUAAACAGUACAUGAAUAGUGUCUAUGAACAGUGCACGUGAACAAUGACUUAAAAUAGUGAAAAAAAUUGGUUAAUUAAAUAUAAAAGGUUGGUUAAUGAAGUGACGAAGUUGAUUUAUAAACGUUCAGAUAUUAAAAAUAAUUUUUAGUGAUAAACCAAAGUUAGUUAAUGAAAAGUAAAAAAUUGGUUAAUAAAGCUAUGAAAUUGGUUAAUAAACAUCCAGAUAUUAAAAAUAAUUUUGAAUAGCCAUCAAAAUUGGUUAAUACAAGUUAUGAAGUUGGUUAAAAAAGUUAUAAAAUUGGUUAAUAAAGGUUCAGAUAAUAAAUAAAAAAUUAAUUAUUUUUUUUAUAUUUUUUUAAAAAAGUAAUAUUAUUAUAAUAUUUUACUAUUCACCGUAUUGGUGAACAAUAAAAUACGGUGUAGGUGUAGAGUUUAGUGUAAGAAUAGCAUUUUUCUUAAGAUAUGUAUAACAUGAGAGAAAACAGAGAAACAGGGAGCUGACACGGGUGCCCGUGUCAG
rnacentral:lncRNA from 1 species